UCCGAUUUGUCACCGGCAGUCCCGUUAAAGUGCCCAUCAUAACAUGCUGGCAACUAACAGUAAGGGUUGCGCUCGUUGCGGGACUUAACCCAACAUCUCACGACACGAGCUGACGACAACCAUGCACCACCUGUCUCCUUGCCCCGAAGGGAAACGUAAUCUCUUACGUCGUCAAGGGAUGUCAAGCCCUGGUAAGGUUCUUCGCGUUGCUUCGAAUUAAACCACAUACUCCACUGCUUGUGCGGGCCCCCGUCAAUUCCUUUGAGUUUCAACCUUGCGGCCGUACUCCCCAGGUGGGAUACUUAUUGUGUUAACUGCGGCACAGAAGGGGUCGAUACCUCCUACACCUAGUAUCCAUCGUUUACGGCGUGGACUAC
rnacentral:misc_RNA from 1 species